UUGGUUAAGUUAGAAAGGGCGCACGGUGGAUGCCUUGGCACUAGGAGCCGAAGAAGGACGGGACUAACACCGAUAUGCUUUGGGGAGCUGUACGUAAGCGUUGAUCCAGAGAUUUCCGAAUGGGGGAACCCACUAUCUUUAGUCGGAUAGUAUCCUUACGUGAAUACAUAGCGUGAGGAAGGCAGACCCAGGGAACUGAAACAUCUAAGUACCUGGAGGAAGAGAAAGAAAAAUCGAUUUCCUGAGUAGCGGCGAGCGAAACGGAAAGAGCCCAAACCAAGAAGCUUGCUUCUUGGGGUUGUAGGACACUCUAUAUGGAGUUACAAAAGAAAGUUAUAAAUGAAGCGGUCUGGAAAGGCCCGCCAAAGACGGUAACAGCCCGGUAGUUGAAAUGGCUUUCCCUCCAGAGUGGAUCCUGAGUACGGCGGAACACGUGAAAUUCCGUCGGAAUCCGGGAGGACCAUCUCCCAAGGCUAAAUACUCCCUAGUGACCGAUAGUGAACCAGUACCGUGAGGGAAAGGUGAAAAGCACCCCGGAAGGGGAGUGAAACAGUUCCUGAAACCGUGUGCCUACAAGUAGUUAGAGCCCGUUAAUGGGUGAUAGCGUGCCUUUUGUAGAAUGAACCGGCGAGUUACGAUUUGUUGCAAGGUUAAGCGGAAAAAGCGGAGCCGUAGCGAAAGCGAGUCUGAAUAGGGCGCAUAAGUAACAGGUCGUAGACCCGAAACCAGGUGAUCUACCCAUGUCCAGGAUGAAGGUAAGGUAAUACUUACUGGAGGUCCGAACCCACGCACGUUGAAAAGUGCGGGGAUGAGGUGUGGGUAGCGGAGAAAUUCCAAUCGAACUUGGAGAUAGCUGGUUCUCUCCGAAAUAGCUUUAGGGCUAGCCUCGAGGUAAAGAGUCAUGGAGGUAGAGCACUGUUUGGACUAGGGGCCCUUCUCGGGUUACCGAAUUCAGAUAAACUCCGAAUGCCAUGUACUUAUACUCGGGAGUCAGACUGCGAGUGAUAAGAUCCGUAGUCGAAAGGGAAACAGCCCAGACCACCAGUUAAGGUCCCCAAAUAUAUGUUAAGUGGAAAAGGAUGUGGGGUUGCUUAGACAACCAGGAUGUUGGCUUAGAAGCAGCCACCAUUGAAAGAGUGCGUAAUAGCUCACUGGUCGAGUGACCCCGCGCCGAAAAUGUACCGGGGCUAAACAUAUUACCGAAACUGUGGAUGAACCUCUUUAGAGGUUCGUGGUAGGAGAGCGUUCUAAGGGCGGUGAAGUCAGACCGGAAGGACUGGUGGAGCGCUUAGAAGUGAGAAUGCCGGUAUGAGUAGCGAAAGAAGGGUGAGAAUCCCUUCCACCGAAUAUCUAAGGUUUCCUGAGGAAGGCUCGUCCGCUCAGGGUUAGUCGGGACCUAAGCCGAGGCCGAUAGGCGUAGGCGAUGGACAACAGGUAGAGAUUCCUGUACCAGUGCUAAUUGUUUAACCGAUGGGGUGACACAGAAGGAUAGGGAAUCGCACGAAUGGAAAUGUGCGUCCAAGCAGUGAGUGUGAGAA
rnacentral:rRNA from 1 species